rnacentral:pre_miRNA from 1 species
GAUAUACUCCCACUGUUCGGAAUUACUUGUCGCAAAAAUGAAUGUAUCUAGAUAUAUUUUAGUUUUAGAUACAUCUAUUUUCGAGACAAGUAAUUUCGAACGGAGGGCCGGAGUAUACG